CCCAGACUCCUACGGGAGGCAGCAGUGGGGGAUAUUGCACAAUGGGGGAAACCCUGAUGCAGCGACGCCGCGUGGGUGAAGAAGUAUUUCGGUAUGUAAAGCCCUCUCAGCAGGGAAGAAAGAAGACGGUACCUGACUAAGAAGCCCCGGCUAACUACGUGCCAGCAGCCGCGGUAAUACGUAGGGGGCGAGCGUUAUCCGGAUUCACUGGGUGUAAAGGGAGCGUAGACGGCCGUGCAAGCCAGGAGUGAAAGCCCGGGGCCCAACCCCGGGACUGCUCUUGGAACUGUGCGGCUGGAGUGCGGGAGGGGCAGGCGGAAUUCCUGGUGUGGCGGUGAAAUGCGUAGAUAUCAGGAGGAACACCGGCGGCGAAGGCGGCCUGCUGGACCGCGACUGACGUUGAGGCUCGAAAGCGUGGGGAGCGAACAGGAUUAGAUACCCCGGUUU
rnacentral:rRNA from 1 species